AACUUUUGGCAACGGAUCUCUUGGCUCUCGCAUCGAUGAAGAACGCAGCGAAAUGCGAUAAGUAAUGUUAAUUGCAGAUUUUCAGUGAAUCAUCGAAUCUUUGAACGCACCUUGCGCUCCUUGGUAUUCCGAGGAGCAUGCCUGUUUGAGUGUCAUUAAAUACCUCAACCCUGAUGGAUUUGUUUCUUUCGGGGCUUGGACUUUGGAGCGUGCUGGCGUGAGUCGGCUCCUCUCAAAUGAAUCAGCGGAAAUCAAUCCUUGGCUUCAGUGUGAUAAUCAUGUUACGCUGUGGUCUGAGCCUUGGGUCCGCUUACAAUGGUCUUUGGACGAUUUAUCAAAUUUGACCUCAAAUCAGGUAGGACUACCCGCUGAACUUAAGCAUAUCAAUAAGCGGAGGCU
rnacentral:misc_RNA from 1 species